AACAACAACAACAACAACAACUACUACUACUACUACUACUACUACUACUACUACUACUUCACGCUGUGAUCCUCGAAUAUGUUGUUUUGAUGAGCUUCAGAACCACAAAGUUCGACAGUAAACUGUAAGAAGAAGAAAAGACGAAAUUAGCGCGAAAAGGUGGAACAUCGGCUAACUGCUGCUAAUGCCGACUGUGGAGUUUUGUCUUUUGGACGGUCGUCCGCGGCUUUUUGUCUCUGCUAUUGUCCGCUGGUGAUCAGUCUUUCUACAAACACAUCUGAAGUCCAGCAGCUGAGGAACAUGUUGAAACUACAGCUAACACCUGCUGAUGAAGGAAUAAUCACAGACCAGAAAAAAGAACUGUGUCAUUUAAAAGAAGAGAACAAAAGAGACAUGCAGCCAUUGUUGGUGAUUAAAGAAGAAAUUCCCCCUGAACGCCAGGAAUGGGACAUUAAAGAAGAAAAGAAGCUGUGGAUAAGUCAGCAGAGAGAACAGCUUCAGCAGCUGGAGGAGGCAGAUCUCACCAAGUUUGGUUUCACUGCCGUCCCUGUGAAGAGUGAAAA